rnacentral:rRNA from 1 species
UACGUAGGGGGCAAGCGUUGUCCGGAUUUAUUGGGCGUAAAGAGCGUGUAGGCGGCUUUACAGGUCCGUUGUGAAAACUCGAGGCUCAACCUCGAGACGUCGAUGGAAACCAUCUGGCUAGAGUCCGGAAGAGGAGAGUGGAAUUCCUGGUGUAGCGGUGAAAUGCGCAGAUAUCAGGAAGAACACCCGUGGCGAAGGCGGCUCUCUGGGACGGUACUGACGCUGAGACGCGAAAGCGUGGGGAGCGAACAGG